UACAGAGACUGCAAGCGUUGUUCGGAUUCAUUGGGCGUAAAGGGCGCGUAGGCGGCGGGGUAAGUCGGGUGUGAAAUCUCAGAGCUCAACUCUGAAACUGCACUCGAUACUGCUCUGCUUGAGGACUGGAGAGGAGACUGGAAUUCACGGUGUAGCAGUGAAAUGCGUAGAUAUCGUGAGGAAGACCAGUGGCGAAGGCGGGUCUCUGGACAGUUCCUGACGCUGAGGCGCGAAAGCGUGGGGAGCAAACAGG
rnacentral:rRNA from 1 species